GUUUGUUCGUGGUAGCAUAUGGUAGUGUAUGGCAGUGUAUCACAGGAGGCUGCUGAGGUGAGGAAGGCUCAUAAUAAUGUCUUGAAUGCGUAUUGGAAUGGCAUCAAACACAUGGAAACCAUGUGUUUGAUGUAUUUGACACCAUUCCAACUCUUCCACUCCAGCCAUUACAACAAGCCCGUCCUCCCCAUUUAAGGUGCCACUAACCUCCUGUGUAUUGUGUGGUAUUGUGUGGUGGUGUGUAUGGUAGUUUGUGAUAGCGUGUACGGUAGUGUGUGUGUGUGUAUGGUAGUGUGUGAUAGUGUGUGUGGUAGUGUGUGGUAGUGUGUAUGGUAGUGUGUAUGGUAAUGUGUAUUGUCAUGUGCAUGGUAGUGUGUGUGUGGUAAUGUGUGGUAGUGUGUAUGGUAGUGUGUGUGGUAGUGUGUAUGGUAGUGUGUAUGGUAGUGUGUGGCAGUGUGUAUGGUAGUGUGUGUGGUAGUGUGUGUGUGUGUGUGGUAGUGUGUAUGGUAGUGUGUGGCAGUGUGUAUGGUAGUGUGUGUGGUAGUGUGUGUGGUAGUGUGUGUGGUAGUGUGUGUGUGUGUGGCAGUGUGUAUGGUAGUGUGUGUGGUAGUGUGUGUGGUAGUGUGUAUGGUAGUGUGUAUGGUAAUGUGUGUGUGGUAGUGUGUAUUGUCAUGUGCAUGGUAGUGUGUGUGUGUGUGUGUGUGGUAAUGUGUGGUAGUGUGUGUGUGUGUGUGUGUGGUAGUGUGUGUGGUGGUGUACAGUAGAGUGUGUUGUAGUGUGUGUGGUAGUGUGUAUGGUAGUGUAUGGUAGUGUGUGUUGUAGUGUGUGUGGUAGUGUGUAUGGUAGAGUAUGGUAGUGUGGGUUGUAGUGUGUGUGGUAGUGUACAGUAGUGUGUGUUGUAGUGUGUGUGGUAGUGUGUAUGGUAGUGUGUGUGGUAGUGUGUGUGGUAGUGUGUGUGGUAGUGUGUAUGGUAGUGUGUAUGGUAAUGUGUGUGUGGUAGUGUGUAUUGUCAUGUGCAUGGUAGUGUGUGUGUGUGUGUGUGGUAAUGUGUGGUAGUGUGUAUGGUAGUGUGUGUGGUAGUGUGUAUGGUAGUGUGUGGCAGGGUGUAUGGUAGUGUGUGUGGUAGUGUGUGUGUGUGUGGUAGUGUGUAUGGUAGUGUGUGGCAGUGUGUAUGGUAGUGUGUGUGGUAGUGUGUGUGGUAGUGUGUAUGGUAGUGUGUGUGGCAGUGUGUAUGGUAGUGUGUGGUAGUGUGUGUGGUAGUGUGUGUGGUAGUGUGUAUGGUAGUUCGUAUGGUAAUGUGUGUGUGGUAGUGUGUAUUGUCAUGUGCAUGGUAGUGUGUGUGUGUGUGUGUGUGUGUGUGUGUGUGUGUGUGUGUGUGUGUGUGUGUGUGUGUGUGUGUGUGUGUGUGUGUGUGUGUGUGUGUGUGUGUGUGUGGUAAUGUG
rnacentral:lncRNA from 1 species